CGUGAUCCUCUGCUUGACACUUCUCCAGUGGGGUCUCCUCUGCCUGCAUCUUCCUCUGUUUCUUUGGUCUCUUCACCACUCUCUCUACUUCUUGUGUUCCCCAUGUUGCUGCUGCUACCUUUCUCCAGAUUCUCUAGUUAAUCACUUAGAAACUGAGAGUAAGGCCCUCUUGACAUCAACCUCUGCCAGAAAAAAAAAAACAAAAACAAUGUAUUUUUCUUGUAAUUUUGAUAUUAUUAUACCUUUUCUAUUAAUUGUUCGUAUGAAAAUUGUAAUUUUGAUAUUAUUAUAAUUUUGAUUGUUUUUGAGGCACAAAACCCAUAAACACGAGAGUUACAAGUAGGAACAACUGCACCAGGCCAAAUGGCAGAAGAGUACAUCAUGAGCAAUUUUCAUACGAACAAUUAAGGGUUUUGUGCCUCAAAAACAAUCAAAAUUGAUCGAUCGAAAUUAUAAAUAAUAAGUAUCUCACAUGUAGAUGUCUGAAACUGUCGCUUGCUUGUUGUGAUUGAACAAAUAAGACAUGCAUAUUAAGUAGGUAGAGGAUAAUUACGAUAAUCCAGGUUACUAUAGAGCAUGAAACUAGAUGUUUCAAUCUUACAUAAAAAGAGAGUGUUGAAUCAAACACAUAAAGAAAGUAUUGUACACAGUGCUCAUGAGGUUACCAUGAUGGCGCAUUUCCAUUGUAGAACAGCUUCCCGAGGAACGUGUAGUCGAGAUGGAAAAAGCUGAGUUUCUUGAGAGACACACUGGGAAGAAGACGUCUCUUGAGACUCAAGUUCUCGUCCUUGAGGGUCUCAACAGUAAGGGAAAGCUGCCUAAUGACCUCUCUCUUCUCUUCGUCCUUCUCUAGCAGCUGUCUUUUCAAAGCAUCAUUCUCUUGGAUGAGCUUCAACCUUUCUUGUUCCAGUUUCUUCGAAGUGGAGGAGGCGGCUUCAACAUCAUCUUCGUCAGGGUCUUCAAUCUCGGAAUGGGGAUCAUCAAGGAGCUCGGAAAGGGAGUGGUCGAUAGGGGAGGAUUUAAGGUGAUGGAAACGGUGGGCUAAGGAACGGUGAGCACGAUAGAAAUCGUGGACGAAGGCGAUAAGCUCAGGACGUUUCUUGUAGUAUGUCUCGGCUCGCUGCGCAAAAGAAUCGGCGUUACCCUCCUCAAUAAGCGACAACAUGGCAUUGGUCUUGGAAUCAAGCUCUGCAAGUGUGGAAUGGAGCCAUUGAGAAUGCUUAGAGGAGGUCGUCGUCGUUGUCUUGUGAUGACUCUCGAACCACCACCAUCUUCUUUUCUCUUCUUCCUCUCCAACCAUUUCUUCUUCACCAAAACACUUAUCUCUCGUAUAGCCUCUCUCCCUUCUUAUCAGUUGGGUGCGAAUAACAGUAAAUCUGUUUUCAAAUUUUGAAUAUCUCUAUGUCCGCCCCCUUCCCCCCCUUUGUAAAUAUACAGAUUCGAAAAUUUACUCUCUUUUUUUUUUAUUUUUUCCAGAUUUCACGGCAAUCAAUACGUAUGUAUAUUAUGGAUCAAACUCGUAGAUUCUCGGUCUCAUAUCAUAAGCCCAUUAACAUAAUCUUUUUCCCUCUCCUUAAUAAAGCCCAUUAUACAGAGGCAGUCUUCAUUGGACGGAGGCAAUUCCAUACAAAUGGGCUUCAGAAGAUUAAUCAAUCAUAAUGCUCAAACUAAACUAAUAGAGUCCAUCCUCUCUGCUUGCUCAAAUAGUUACAUUACAAAUAGCCCCCCACUUCAUGGGGCCCCCAAUUUAAAAAAAAAAACUUAUAUACAUAUAAAUGUAUACUAUAUAAAACAUAAAAAUGUUAAAGAUAUUAAGUAAAACUAUAUUAUUAGAUAAAAUUUAUGAUUAUUCAUUUUAAGAAUAAGCAUUUACAAAAUAAAAUAUAUAAACCUUUUUUUUAUUUUUACUAAAAAUUAGAUAAAAUUUCAAUUUUGUAACGUUAGAUCCGGCUCUGCUUCCGGGCCUUCACCAUUUGCUUUAGCAGCUUCCGACACCAUGUGAAUGAAUCAUUCCUACAUGCUAUCUUGUAUUUGGUUGGAAGAGAAUAUUGUCUUUAGGCCUCAUUGUCUAAGGUGUGUGUGUACAUAGUUUCGGUAGUCUUGGCAAAGUCCCAUACAAAUAGAGAGAGACGCAAAACAUGAGAAGACAGUAGAUUGUACUAGUUCUAACUAUGAUCUCAUCUCUCUGGUGGUUUUUCUUUUUCUUAUACAGCAUAGCAAGUUUGGUUGGUAGUAAUGAUACAUAUAUGUUUCUCCUAGCUCAUAAUAAUACAAAUAAAAAGGACUCAUCUCAUCUCAUAGUAGAUGUACAAGACAUUACAAUCAAAGACCUGUUGCCUGCCUGCUACGAAACUAAGCAAACUCGCUAUCAUCAUCAACAUGAUAUAUUAUGGAUGUGACUUAGCGAAACGUCCCCUGAUUCUUGUCCUGCUUUCUGCACGAACCUUGCGUGAUUCAUAUCUAAUGUGCUUCUCGUACCUGACAUUUUGAUCAAACACCCCCAGUGUCUAAUUCGUGUGUUUCUAAAUUAAGAAUAAGAGAUGAGGAAGGAGUUAGGUCAAGAAGAUAGUUUACCUUCGAGAUUUCUUCUUGGCUUUGUAGCGAGAGAGAGCAGAGUUUCUCUCAAGACUGUUGAUCUCAUGUGUCAACCUUGUCGUAGUAGUACUAGUGGAAACCGGAACCAUCACAGGCGAUGACUCUUGUUGUUGCUGUUGUUGAGUGCUGCAGCCUCUCUGGUUUACAUUAUUAUCAUCUGAAUACGGAUAAUAGUCUUCUUGUUGAUCCUCGAACCAUUUCAGUCCACCCACCUUAAAAAAAAAAAAAUUGAUUUUUUUUAAAAAAAUUGAGAGACCGACCAGCAGAACUGACCAAUAAGAAGAAAACAGAUGUAGAAGAAACAAAUAAUACCUGAGAUUCAAAUGUAGAAGAAAACAGAUCGUCAUCGUUUCCCGGUUCAAGAAAGAGGAAUCCGGUGGUGUCGAGCUCAGCAUCAAGGGUCUCGUAUUUGAGACAACUAGGCUCGGAUCUCGAGAGUUCACGGAGCUGUCUGAUCAUCUCCUCUUUGUGUCUCCCGCAGGUAGCGUGGCGAUUCUACGACAGAGAGAGAGAGAGAGAGAGAGAGAAAUAAAUAAAUUUUCAAAAACAGAGGAUUCAUUUCUCUUAAAAGAAACAGUUUUUAUUUUUUUUUAAAGAUAAGCAUCAUGAUAUGUACCUUAGGGAGAGGAGGAACAUCCAUGGCCCGGUAAUUGUGACUCGACCCGUCCGAAGCAACCAGAUCGUUAAGGCUAACGAUCUGCGGAGGGGUCUGCUCCGAUCCUCCUCGGGGAUGGGGAAGGAACAGAGCUUUGUCACUGAGGUCAUCGAGGCCCACGAGUGCCAGUAGCUCUGUCACGGAAGGACACCCCGAAAACCCUUCCAAGGGUCUGCGGCUGUGAAGCGAGGAGGAGGAGGUGUGGUGUUGCCAGUCACAGUUCUGGCAUAGCACUGAGCUUUCCGUGUCGCAGAACACGGAAGAGGGAGAGUCGUCGCAGGAGUCGCAGAGGAGUGACCUGAAGUGUUUCGAGAAGAGCUGGUUCGUUACGUGGACUUGAUUGUCGCAGGCGAGACAUAGCUUGGCUGAGUCUGCUUUGCAGUAGACGAGAGCCACCGAGGACUCGCAAUAGUCGCAGAUGCGAUGUUGCUGAUGGGAUCCUUCUUCUUUUUCUUCUUUUUCCAUUUGAGGAGACAGUAGGGCACUCUGUUUUCCUGUGGCAGAGAUGAAGAAGGAGAAAGAAAGAAUCUUCAACCUCUAUCUUCCGAUUUUACCCCUCUCCUUUUCUCUGCUGUUAAUAGUCUGUUUUAGUUUUACUAUACUGCUAAUAAUAAUAAAAAGCCCAUAGAAUGGAAUACUACAAUCUCAUUCUGGGCUGCCCUCUGUUAGCAAAACAGGCCCAUUGAUACUCGCCAUGUGCUUCUUCUCCUUCUCCCUGCUUAAUGCCACACCAUUCCAUUAAAUUCCAAUACUCCAUCUUCUCCCUCGCCAAAAGUCGCUGACCUCGUUAAACCCCUAUCAAUGGCAUUGGCUACAUUUGUUUCUUCUUCUCCCUUCCUUUUGACAUUAAUACUAAUUAUGGUCUAGUGCCAUUUCGAUCCUGCCAAGCUUCACGAUGCAUCAUUUCUCAACGCUAAAGGUUAACACUUUCACAUCUCUUCUCCAUUCAUGAAUCGAAGCUAGAGUCUUUAUAUUACUGCUUGUUUCUUCUUUCAUUUGACUGAUCAGUCUCUGAAUCCGUCCAUGGUUGCUUCCUCUCAGGUUUACUGCGUUUGAUUACUCCCACCUCCCAUGCCAGAAACAAGCAUAGACAGUUUACCAGCGCUAGAAAGCAUGUCUUAAUGGAGAUGAUUCUCUUUUCUCACCUAUGACCCUAGUCGAGUUCAUGAUACGAGAUGGCAAGCUCUUGACAAAUGCUCAUUGUCUCCAACAUGAUACGCCUGUUUACUUCUUCUUCUUCUUCUUUUCAACUUUCUUGAUCAAGUUAAAAUUGAGAGAAGGGGAGAUGAUAGAAAGUAGUAUAUGGCUAAGGUUAGUUUUACCAUCUAUCUAUCAUAGUUACUUCCAAUAUAUAUAUAUGUAUGUGUUUUUAAUAUUUGAACCAUCCACCUAAUUCUCUUACAAAGUGCCUUCACAUUUUGUUAUGUACAGGUUUGACCCAAGGGAUUGGACACUAAAAGCUCUCCACAACAUAUGGGGAAAGCUUUCAGCUUCAUUACUCAAUUCAAUAAGGUCUUGACCUGUUCCAAGUUUACUACAUUCUUUCUUCAUAUCUCUAGGAGAUUGAAUUUGAUAGAAAUUUUGGCAUGACAAUGCCCGCCUUUGUGUUGAGAUUAGUGUGUAAUGAGGAAAAUCAUAGCAUGAAUCUUAGAGCAAAGUCAACAUAUUAUAUACAUUUCAAUAGUGAUGAGAAAUGAAAUGCCUGCUGCUCUUACAUUUUACAGAGAAUCUCUGCUUAUCUUUUUAACUAAACCUAAGAUUAUUGCAGAAACAAGUUAAAGCUAGCACUCACUUCAAUAUUCACUCACGGGUCUCUCUACUUGUUUGUUUGUUUGUUUGUUUGUUUUUAAUUAUUUACUUUGCGUUUUUAUUCAGAAAUCAAAACAAAACAAACACUCCGACACCAAAUCAAAACCCGACAAUUCCACAUUUCAUGUGCUCUGCCCCUAGCAAAAGGUACACAACCAAACCAACCAAUCUUGUCUUUUACCACCUCUAUAGCUGUAUACCUUUUAUAAUUCAGUUUCUCAUCCUUUUUAAUCUCUAAAGGUCUCUCAGAAACAGAGAGAGAGAGAGACUCAUUCACAGAAAGAAAAUCAUGGGCGUCUCUCUGUUCGUUGGCCUUACCCUUCUCUCACUCUGUCUGCCCACUUCAACAUCCGAGCUUCUACAGUUUCAGCUCUCCACCAUAUCAGCUGCACCUUCGUUUUUACCCGAAGCGCCUUCUAGUUUCUCAGCUUCACCUCCGGAGGCUACGUCUCCGGAUAUCUCUCCUCUGUUCCCUACUCCGGGUUCGAGCGAAAUGUCUCCUUCUCCGUCAGAAUCUUCUGCCAUGCCGACAAUCCCCUCAAGCCUUAGCCCACCAAACCCAGAUGCUGUGGCUCGUGAUCCUCUGCUUGACACUUCUCCAGUGGGGUCUCCUCUGCCUGCAUCUUCCUCUGUUUCUUUGGUCUCUUCACCACUCUCUCUACUUCUUGUGUUCCCCAUGUUGCUGCUGCUACCUUUCUCCAGAUUCUCUAGUUAAUCACUUAGAAACUGAGAGUAAGGCCCUCUUGACAUCAACCUCUGCCAGAAAAAAAAAAACAAAAACAAUGUAUUUUUCUUGUAAUUUUGAUAUUAUUAUACC
rnacentral:lncRNA from 1 species